rnacentral:lncRNA from 1 species
GUGGGCAAGGAGAAACCUCAGCGGGGACAGAGGAGUAAAGGGACUGGCCUGGGAGAGGGAGCAGGCACUCAGAAAAGUGGGGAGACAAGGAACGACUCCGCAACAUCACAACUUCACCAAAGGUGCUCACUUCCGGGAAGGUCUCUGGGACUAAUUGUGACCUUAGGCAGGAAAGCGUCCAGGUGAUCCGGUCUAACGUGCUGGAACUCAGAACCAUUCAACCAUCUCUGCAGACCCCAGACCACAGUCCACAGGCUUCUGAGGCCAGCUCCCCACUCACUCUUCAGCAUCAGCUCCCCCGCUCCCCUGGGAACUUCCAAGACACCCAGGCCUUGAACGUGUCUGGUCCCCCGGGGCCUGGUGCCA